rnacentral:rRNA from 1 species
AGUGAACGCUGGCGGUAGGCCUAACACAUGCAAGUCGAACGGCAGCACAGUAAGAGCUUGCUCUUACGGGUGGCGAGUGGCGGACGGGUGAGGAAUACAUCGGAAUCUACUUUUUCGUGGGGGAUAACGUAGGGAAACUUACGCUAAUACCGCAUACGACCUACGGGUGAAAGCAGGGGAUCUUCGGACCUUGCGCGAUUGAAUGAGCCGAUGUCGGAUUAGCUAGUUGGCGGGGUAAAGGCCCACCAAGGCGACGAUCCGUAGCUGGUCUGAGAGGAUGAACAGCCACAAGGGAGCGGCGACACGGUCCCGCGAACGAGGGGCGGCAGCAGUGGUGACUAUCGAGCAAGGGGGGCAGGCAGAAUCCAGCCUAGCCGCGUGGGUGAAGAGGGCUUCCGGGUUGUAAAGCACUUUGGUGGGAAAAGAACAGCAACAGGACACUCCCCAGCUUUUCUGACGCAACCAAAACAAUAAGCCCCGGCCCCAUUCCUCCAAGCAGCCGCGGGAAUAACCGGAAGACCACACGCCCGAAC